GACGAACGCUGGCGGCGUGCCUAAUACAUGCAAGUCGAGCGGACCGAACAGGAGCUUGCUCUUGUUCGGUUAGCGGCGGACGGGUGAGUAACACGUGGGUAACCUGCCCGUAAGACCGGGAUAACUCCGGGAAACCGGAGCUAAUACCGGAUAACACCGAAGACCGCAUGGUCUUUGGUUGAAAGGCGGCUUCGGCUGCCACUUACGGAUGGGCCCGCGGCGCAUUAGCUAGUUGGUGAGGUAACGGCUCACCAAGGCGACGAUGCGUAGCCGGCCUGAGAGGGUGACCGGCCACACUGGGACUGAGACACGGCCCAGACUCCUACGGGAGGCAGCAGUAGGGAAUCUUCAGCAAUGGACGAAAGUCUGACGGAGCGACGCCGCGUGAGCGAAGAAGGUCUUCGGAUCGUAAAGCUCUGUUGUUAGGGAAGAAGAAGCGUCGUUCGAACAGGGCGGCGCGGUGACGGUACCUAACGAGAAAGCCCCGGCUAACUACGUG
rnacentral:rRNA from 1 species